AAAGGAAUUGACGGGGGCCCGCACAAGCGGUGGAGCAUGUGGUUUAAUUCGAAGCAACGCGAAGAACCUUACCAGGUCUUGACAUCCUUUGACCACUCUAGAGAUAGAGCUUUCCCUUCGGGGACAAAGUGACAGGUGGUGCAUGGUUGUCGUCAGCUCGUGUCGUGAGAUGUUGGGUUAAGUCCCGCAACGAGCGCAACCCUUAUUGUUAGUUGCCAUCAUUUAGUUGGGCACUCUAGCGAGACUGCCGGUGACAAACCGGAGGAAGGUGGGGAUGACGUCAAAUCAUCAUGCCCCUUAUGACCUGGGCUACACACGUGCUACAAUGGGAAGUACAACGAGUCGCUAGGCCGCGAGGUCAUGCAAAUCUCUUAAAGCUUCUCUCAGUUCGGAUUGCAGGCUGCAACUCGCCUGCAUGAAGCCGGAAUCGCUAGUAAUCGCGGAUCAGCACGCCGCGGUGAAUACGUUCCCGGGCCUUGUACACACCGCCCGUCACACCACGAGAGUUUGUAACACCCGAAGUCGGUGAGGUAACCUUUUUGGAGCCAGCCGCCUAAGGUGGGAUAGAUGAUUGGGGUG
rnacentral:rRNA from 1 species